AUGGGUGGACUGGCCUGGGGACCGUCCAGGGCUGCAGGCAGCAGUUGGGCCAAUGCCAGUGAGACCUGGGAACAGCCCUUGGGGGGCUUCAGUGGGCUCCAAGGAGGAAGACAAAGAGGUAGAAGAGAGAAGGGGAUUUCUGAGGAGCCCCUGGGCCAGCUGACACCUCAGCUUGACCUGUUGCUGAGGGUCCCUCCUGGCUUUGGGGAGCAAGCUUCCAGCUACCACUUGGAUAUGUCUGGUCCCCAGCUGUCUGUUGCCAGCCGGACCACAGGAGCCGUGGCCUGCCUGGCAGAGGUGCUCCUCUGGGUUGGAGGGAGCGUGGUAGUGUCACCACGAUGGCAGUUCAGCCUUCUAGUGGAGAGAUGCAUGAGUGCCAUGCAGGAGGGGACCCAGAUGGUGAAGCUCCGGGGCAGCUCUAAGGGAUUGGUCCGCUUCUACUACCUGGAUGAGCACCGCUCCUGUCUCCGAUGGCGGCCCUCACGCAAGAACGAGAAAGCCAAGAUUUCCAUCGACUCCAUCCAGGAGGUGAGUGAGGGCCGGCAGUCUGAAAUCUUCCAGCGCUACCCAGACAGCAGCUUCGACCCCAACUGCUGUUUCAGCAUCUACCAUGGCAGCCACCGAGAGUCGCUGGACUUGGUCUCCCCCAGCGGUGAAGAGGCACGUACCUGGGUCACCGGCCUUCGCUACCUCAUGGCUGGCAUCAGCGAUGAAGACAGCCUAGCCCGUCGCCAGCGUACCAGGGACCAGUGGCUGAAGCAGACAUUUGAUGAGGCUGACAAGAACGGGGACGGCAGUCUGAGCAUCAGUGAGGUUCUCCAGCUGCUACAUAAACUCAACGUGAACCUGCCCCGGCAGAGGGUGAAACAGAUGUUCAGGGAGGCAGACACAGACGACCAUCAGGGAACACUGGGCUUUGAGGAAUUCUGCGCCUUCUACAAGAUGAUGUCCACUCGCCGAGACCUCUACCUGCUCAUGCUGACCUACAGCGACCAUAAGGACCACUUGGAUGCCUCCGACCUGCAGCGCUUUCUGGAGGUGGAGCAGAAGAUGAAUGAUGUGACGCUCGAGAGCUGUCAGAACAUCAUCGAACAGUUUGAGCCUUGCCUGGAAAAUAAGAGCAAGGGAGUGCUGGGGAUUGAUGGCUUUACCAACUACACGAGGAGCCCUGCCGGUGACAUCUUCAACCCUGAGCACCACAGAGUGCACCAAGACAUGACGCAGCCGUUGAGUCACUACUUCAUCACCUCGUCCCACAACACCUACCUCGUGGGUGACCAGCUCAUGUCCCAGUCUCGGGUGGACAUGUAUGCCUGGGUUCUGCAAGCCGGCUGCCGCUGUGUGGAGGUGGACUGCUGGGAUGGUCCUGAUGGGGAGCCCAUUGUCCACCACGGCUACACUCUGACCUCCAAGAUCCUUUUCAAAGACGUCAUAGAAACCAUCAACAAAUAUGCCUUCAUCAAGAAUGAGUACCCAGUGAUCCUGUCCAUUGAGAACCACUGUAGUGUUGUUCAGCAGAAGAAGAUGGCCCAGUAUCUGACUGACAUCCUUGGGGACAAGCUGGACCUCUCCUCAGUGAGCAGCGAAGAUGCUACCAUGCUUCCUUCUCCACAGAUGCUCAAAGGCAAGAUCCUGGUGAAGGGGAAGAAGCUCCCUGCCAAUAUCAGUGAAGAUGCGGAAGAAGGUGAAGUAUCUGAUGAGGACAGUGCCGAUGAGAUCGAAGAUGACUGCAAGCUCCUCAAUGGGGAUGCCUCCACCAAUCGGAAGCGUGUGGAAAACAUUGCAAAGAAGAAGCUGGAUUCUCUGAUCAAGGAGUCAAAGAUCCGUGACUGUGAAGACCCCAAUGACUUCACUGUCUCCACACUAUCCCCAUCUGGAAAGCUUGGGCACAAAGCAGAGUCCAAGAAGGGUCAGAGCAAGGUUGAGGAAGAUGUGGAGUCCGGGGAGGACACUGGGGCCAGCAGGCGGAACAACCGUCUCCUCAUGAGCAGCUUCUCCAAGCGCAAGAAAAAGAGCAGCAAGACAAAGAAGGUGGCCAGCGUGGAAGAGGGGGAUGAGAACCUGGACUCCCCAGGAAGCCAGAGCCGAGGGACUGCCCGGCAAAAGAAGACCAUGAAGCUGUCACGAGCCCUCUCGGACCUAGUGAAAUAUACCAAGUCUGUGGGCACCCAUGACGUGGAGAUGGAGGUGGUAUCUAGCUGGCAGGUGUCGUCCUUCAGCGAGACCAAGGCCCACCAGAUCCUGCAGCAAAAGCCUACCCAGUACCUGCGCUUCAACCAACACCAGCUCUCACGCAUAUACCCCUCCUCCUACCGUGUGGACUCCAGCAACUACAAUCCACAACCCUUCUGGAAUGCUGGUUGCCAGAUGGUUGCCCUGAACUACCAGUCAGAGGGGCGGAUGCUGCAGCUGAACAGGGCCAAGUUCAGCGCCAAUGGUGGCUGUGGCUACGUGCUCAAACCGCAGUGCAUGUGCCAGGGUGUCUUCAACCCCAACUCUGAGGACCCCCUGCCAGGGCAGCUCAAGAAGCAGCUGGCCCUGAGGAUCAUUAGUGGCCAGCAGCUGCCCAAGCCACGGGACUCGGUGCUGGGUGACCGUGGGGAGAUCAUCGACCCCUUUGUGGAGGUGGAGGUCAUCGGGCUUCCCGUGGACUGCAACAAAGAGCAGACCCGAGUGGUGGAUGACAACGGAUUCAACCCCAUGUGGGAGGAGACACUGGUGUUCACUGUUCACAUGCCCGAGAUUGCACUUGUGCGCUUUCUGGUCUGGGACCAUGACCCCAUUGGACGUGACUUCAUUGGUCAGAGAACCCUGGCUUUCAGCAGCAUGAUGCCAGGCUACCGGCAUGUGUACCUAGAAGGGAUGGAAGAGGCCUCUAUCUUUGUACAUGUGGCUGUCAGUGACAUUAGUGGUAAGGUCAAGCAGACUCUGGGUCUAAAAGGUCUCUUCCUCCGAGGCCCAAAGCCAGGCUCACUGGACAGUCAUGCUGCUGGGCAGCCCCUGCCCCGGCCCUCCGUUAGCCAGAGGCUCCUGAGGCGCACAGCCAGUGCCCCAACCAAAAGCCAGAAGCCAAGUCGCAAGGGCUUCCCAGAGCUGGCCCUGGGCACACAGGACGCAGGCUCUGAGGGGGCAGCUGAUGACGUGGCACCCCCUAGCCCCAACCCAGCUCUGGAGGCCCCUACUCAAGAGAGGUCAGGCAGCGGCAGUCCCCGAGGUAAGGCACCAGCAGGAGAAGCAACCGAAGAGAGAACACCGGCACAGGUGCGGUCCCCACAUGCCCCCGAAGGCCCUGGACCUGCAGGGAUGGCCGCCACAUGCAUGAAGUGUGUGGUGGGCUCCUGCACCGGUAUGGACGUUGAGGGCCUUCGAAGGGAGCAGCAACCUAGCCCUGGGCCUGCAGGCAGCCACAUGGCCAUCAGCCAGCAGCCCAGGGCCCGGGUAGAUUCACUGGGGGGCCCUUGCUGCAGCCUGAGUCCUCGAGCCACCCCAGGGAGAAGCAGAGAGGCCCCCAAGGGUCCUAGGGCUCGGCGGCAGGGUCCAGGAGGCGGCUCUGUGUCUUCGGACUCCAGCAGCCCAGGCAGCCCAGGCAGUCCCAAGGUGGCCCCCUGCCAGCCGGAGGGUGCUCACAGGCAGCAGGGGGCGCUGCAGGGAGAGAUGAACGCCUUGUUCGUUCAAAAGCUGGAGGAGAUCAGGAGUCAUUCCCUCAUGUUCUCCACGGGUAAGGCCUGCCAUUCCGCUGCAUCCCAUGCUCUCUACCCAUGGCAUGCCUGGGAGCUCCGUGCCUGCCGCGUUCUGCUUCACCGGUCCAUCAGCUUAACCUGUGGCUUGCCUGCCUCAAACCCCUGCCCCCACUCUGAUGGCCCUGUACCUUGUGGGGGGAUGCAGGAAGUGGGGAGCUUGAGUCAUCAAGGUAUUUCUGUGAGCUGCUUGCUGAGGAACCCAAGGAUAUCCAGCCAGCCCUCAGCAAGGGCUUCCCUGGUGCCUUGCUGGCUACCCUGAUUGGCUGCUCUGAUGACCUUCCUAGGUCUGAAAAGAUCCCAGAUCUUAGCCUUGCUUUCCCCCCCCCCCCCCGCCCGACCCCCAGGGCCAGAUGCAAGAAUGACUGCCCUGCAGUCCUUCAGGAGCCUGCUGCCAAUUGGUGGUGGGACCACAGGGUAUUCCCCCUUGGAGGCCUCAGAGCACCCAGUGCUUAGAAGAGUAGCUCCCAGGGACCUGCAUUGUCCGAAUGGCACUUGAAUAGCCCUUGUGUGACCACCCACCGUCCAGGCUGACAGUUACUGGCCCAUACCAGUAACUGAGGUGGUGUGAGAGAGGGAGUGUGAGAGAAUUGGUCUGAGCUGGUUACCUGAGCUCUAGCCUGGGCGGGAGGGAGUCUGCCUGCUUCUUGUGUACUCCUCCCGCUCAUUGCCCAGCCUCGUUGUCCAUCUGUCCAUCUGUCCAUCUGCCAACGCCCCCUCCACACACUGAUCCGUGUUCUCCUUUCUGUCCCUGCACCGUGCUGCUUCCAUAGUUAGGGAUUGAGACCUGCGAGUGCCAGAUACUCGCCUCUUCCCCCUGCAGCGGCCCAUCUCCCCCCUGUGCAGCCUGGAACCCAUUGCUGAGGAACCAGCCCUGGGCCCUGGCCUCCCGUUACAGGCAGCUGUCCCCACAGGUCCAUCUCAGGAAGGGCCCCAGUGCCCUGUAGGACUGGGAGCCAAAGUGACCAGGCCCCAGCAGACAUCCCUGGGAGCUUCUGGAACCCUGCAGCUCAGAAUUGGGGGUGACAGGGAAAAUGAAGAGCCACCCCUCAGGCCACACAAUGGUGGGAUCUCCAGCGGGCCACGUGAGGGGACCUCUGGAAGACAGACAGACAGCAAGAGCCGCUCCUGGGCUCCGGGCCACUUGCCAGUGGUUAGGAGGGCCAAGAGUGAGGGCCAGGUGCUCUCGGAGCUCUCUCCCACACCUGCAGUGUACUCGGAUGCUACUGGCACUGACAGGUUAUGGCAGCGGCUGGAGCCUGGGAGUCACAGGGACAGUGUCUCCUCAUCCUCCAGCAUGUCCUCCAACGACACUGUCAUAGACCUAUCACUGCCCAGCCUCGGCCUCUGCCGCAGCCGAGAAAGCAUUCCAGGGGUCUCUCUUGGACGCCUAGCCUCACGGCCCUGCUUAGCCUCAGCUGCCCGUCCUGACCUGCCUCCUGUGACCAAGAGCAAAUCCAACCCCAACCUGCGGGUUGCAGGUGGGCUGCCUCCUGCACCCGAUGAGCUGCAGCCCCGGCCUCUUGCCCCACGGCUGACCAGCCUCUACCCACGGCCACCCCGGCAUCACCUCACCCUGGUGGGUCUGCAGGACUGCUCAGUGUCUGCUAAGUCCAAGAGUCUGGGAGACCUGACGGCUGACGACUUUGCUCCCAGCUUUCAGGGCAGCACCGGCAGCCUGAGCUGCAGCCUGGGCCCCCUGGGUGUGGUGCAUCAGGGGCUGGAGCCGGAAGUGCGGCGAGACGCUCUCACGGAGCAGCUUCGCUGGCUCACCGGCUUUCAGCAGGCUGGGGACAUCACCUCGCCCACCAGCUUGGGCCCGGCUGGGGAUGGGUCUGUAGGGGGCCCCAGCUUCCUGAGGCGCUCCUCCUCUCGCAGCCAGAGCCGCGUGCGCGCUAUUGCCAGCCGAGCCCGCCAAGCUCAGGAGCGCCAGCAGAGGCUGAGAGGCCUGGACUCACGGGGUCCCCCAGAGGAGGAGCGGGGCACCCCUGAGGGUGCCUGUUCUGUAGGCCACGAGGGCUGUGUGGAUGUGCCAAUGCCUGCCAAGGGAGCCCCUGAGCAGGUGUGUGGUGCUGCUGACGGCCAGCUGCGGCUCAGGCUCUGACUGCCUGAUGACUCGAACUCCCUACCUUCCCUGUGACUGCCUGCAGGAGGGGUGGGGGGGCUGGCCUCAACCCAACCUUUGCUCAGGAAAUGAAGCCACUGGGUCCCCAAAGCUGUUAUGCCCCACUCGCUGUCUGUGGAGCACCCAGUAGCCUCCCCUUCAACCUUAGCUGUCCUCCUGUCUCUGAUCCUGGGAAGCGAGGAACAGCAUUGUCCACCUGUCCUACUGGGCAGUUUCCACGUUUUAAGAUAUAUAAAUAGAUUAUUUAACUUUUUAGAACCAAAAUUUACAGUCAAAUGACUCUGCGUCCUUUCCCACUGGUCUGCUGGGUGUCUGGCCCUGUGGUGUGUGCUGAGUGUUUUCUUCCACCCGCUGUGUGCUUGUUCCCCAGAAUGCCUGUGACACACCCACAACUGCUAGGAUGUUUGUCCCUGUCCCCUACUCCACUGUACACCGGCCUUGUUUUGAACAAACCACGCAGCAAUUGUGUAAACUUGGGAACACAACUCCAAUAAAUGCAUCAGGCCUGUUC